GUUCAGGGGCGUUUCUUCUGGGCCGGUGAGGGCGAUGAGCAGAAGUACCACAUGGUUAGGUGGUCAGAGAUCUGCAAGCCUCGCGACCAGGGCGGACUCGGGAUCAUGUCAUCCAAACGCAUGAACAUUGCCCUCCUGACUCGGUGGCUUUGGCAGAUUGCCAACGGAGAUGGUGGCUUGUGGCUUCACAUCAUUCAGUAG
rnacentral:rRNA from 1 species